rnacentral:rRNA from 1 species
UACAGAGGUCCCGAGCGUUGUUCGGAUUCAUUGGGCGUAAAGGGUGCGUAGGCGGUCUGCUAAGUUUGAUGUGAAAUCCCGGGGCUCAACCCUGGAAUGGCAUUGAAUACUGGCGGACUAGAGUACCGGAGAGGAAACUGGAAUUUACGGUGUAGCGGUGAAAUGCGUAGAUAUCAAGAGGAACACCUGAGGUGAAGACGGGUUGCUGGGCCAACACUGACGCUGAUGCGCGAAAGCCAGGGGAGCAAACGGG